GGGAUUAUCAGUUUGACACAAUGAUAAAUCGAAAAGCUGGCGUAUCUCAUAUUUUUGCCUUUUUUGGAGUAGCUGCACAUACAUUUACUCAUUCCCCAGCUUGUCUUUUCUUAUUCUUCCCUCCUCAACAAAUGUUUGCUCCUCCAGUUCUGCUUUCUUCUUCUUUUUUUUUGUUCGUCCCCACACUUUUUGCCCUCUUUUCUUUUCUCUCUCUAUAAAGCUGUGAAACACUAAACUGGCUAUAGCGCUGGCAUGAGGAGUAAUCCACUGUCAAAUACUGCUCUGUUUGCCUUCCCCUGUGUCUGUGCAUCCCUCAGCAGAUCCUCUAGUUUUCCUGCAACUGCUGCAUAUUUUCCUUUAAAAGCUGGGACUCUGCAUGCACAGACUGCCAUGUGGCACAGGAAUUAAUGUUUCACAUCAGUGCAGUAAACUUGAACAUGCAAACCUCCUCCCUGCCUCCCACCUCCUGCUACACACACACACACACACACACACCCUACAGACUCCACCACCAUCUCUCCUCAAAAAUAAAAUCAUACUCUCUCUUUUGCUUUGGCAUGCACCCUACUCCAUUUCCAUGCAUGUCAAGAAAAAAAAAAGGAAAAGCAGAAAAAGCCAGAAAACAUUCUUACUGUCUUCUACAAUCCCUGAUGAAUUACAGAAAUCCCUCCUCUGGAAAAAAGGGGACAGAAGUAGAAAAGAGAGGAAGGAGGGGUAGGGGGAGCCCAGCGGUUGCCAGUUGCAGAGGAAUAAGGAGUGAGUAGGGGUGAGCAGGAGGAUGUAGUGAAAAGGAAAGAAAAAAAAGAAAAGACAAUCACUGCUGCAACAAUAAAGACCCUCCUCCUCCUCCACAACCGCCACCAGAACAAGAAAUUACAAGGUGUCCGGCGUGCCGCUGUACGCGGAGGUAUGGAGCAUUAUCCUCGGCUCCCAGCUCGUCCUCCAGCAGCGGCAGCAGCUCUGUAGUAACACUUCUCUCUCUUUGGUCCGGCAAUCUCCCCAUGCCUCGCUCACUAUCCUCCCCUCCUCCCUCCCUCCUCUCAGCUUGUUCACAGUGCCCCCCGCUCCCUCUCGCUCCUCUCUCUCCUUCUACUGGUUGGCUGGCUGCUCUCCCUCGCCCCCCUCCCUCCCUUACCUCUCCGUCUCUCUGUCUCUCUCCAUCCCUCCUUCUCUCUCUCCUCCAUCAUUACCCGGAUACAAGGCAUACCCCUCCCUCCUUACAUCGGUCUCUCCUCUUUCUCUCUCUCCCUCUCUCUGUCUUUGAUGUUUUGGAGUUAGACUCUUAGCUGUGAAAAGAAUCUGCUUCUCUUCUCUCUCUCUCUCUCUCUCUCUCUCUCUCCGUCUCUCUGAAAGCACCACAGAACAGAGAAAGAAGUGGGAUCCACCCAACAGUGCAGAGAUACAUACA
ensembl:lncRNA